rnacentral:lncRNA from 14 species
AUGAUGUCCACUGCAGCCUCUCCCACAGCAGCCCCAAACCUCUCCCUGGGCACCGGACAGCCUCUGCCCACUGUGAUGCCCUCCCUGCAGAGCAGCUCUCUGCCCGGGCCGGCUCUGCCCACUGUGAUGCCCUCCCUGCAGAGCAGCUCUCUGCCCGUGUCCCCCGCCCCUCCAGCCGGGCUGGGCAGAGCGUGCUCCCCGCUGCCCAGGCUGCCCCAGCCCCUUGCCACAGCCGCUGCUGGCACAGCUCCUGGCCCUGUUUCUGGAUCAGUGUCCCCGGUGGGGCGCUGCCCGGCUGGGUCUCUGGCAGCUCCUGCUCCAUCCCACACCCCUGACCCUUUCGACGCAACUCAGCUGGCCCAGUGCUGCCCCCUCCAGCUGCUCCCCCGGCCCCGGCGGCUCCUGCUCCCUCUCCGCACUCCCCCCGGGACGGUUCCCUGGCAGGUCUCCAGCCCCGCUGCCGCUCGGCUCCGUCCUCGGGAGCCCUGGGCCCAGCAAACCCUCGGCCUGAUGGGCACAGCUCCUGUCCCGACAGCCCCAGCCACGAGCAGCUCGGUACCAGCCCUGCCCAGGGGACUCGGUCAGCGGUUCCCCAUGGACAAGGGCCCAGCUCCGUGUCCCCACACCACGCCAUGCAGUCCCUGGAGCUCAAUGGCAGCGCCAGCCCAGGCUCUGCAGCCCCACAGAGCUGCUGCACUCCCAGCAGGCUGCUUCACAGGCUCCAUGUCCCACCCCCGACCAGCCCCAGGAUCUGGGAGUCGGUCCCCAAGCCCCGAGAGACCCCACACCCCCCAUGAGGGCAGAGCAGCCUCACCAGCCCACGGGCCUCAGCAGCACUGGGCAGGGGGCGGGGGCAGGCACGGGACUCCGGGCCAGCACAGCCAGAGCACCGGCGGCUGGCACGGCAGCACUCCCGGGAGCUGCUCUCCUUGGAGCUGCACUGUCCGGAGCUGCACUGUCCAGAGCUGCACUGUCCGGAGCUGCACUCCUUGGAGCUGCACUGUCCGGAGCUGCACUCCCUGGAGCUGCACUCCCAGAGCUGCACUCCUUGGAGCUGCACUGUCCGGAGCUGCACUCCCUGGAGCUGCACUCCUUGGAGCUGCACUGUCCGGAGCUGCUCUCCUUGGAGCUGCACUCCUUGGAGCUGCACUGUCCAGAGCUGCACUGUCCGGAGCUGCUCUCCUUGGAGCUGCACUCCUUGGAGCUGCACUGUCCAGAGCUGCACUGUCCGGAGCUGCACUCCUUGGAGCUGCACUGUCCGGAGCUGCACUGUCCAGAGCUGCACUGUCCGGAGCUGCACUCCCUGGAGCUGCACUCCCAGAGCUGCACUCCUUGGAGCUGCACUGUCCGGAGCUGCACUCCCUGGAGCUGCACUCCCAGAGCUGCACUGCCCAGAGAUGCACUGCCCAGAGCUGCACUCCUCAGAGCUGGGAGCAGGGGCACAGCACUCAUGGAGAACACAGCAAGCACUGUUACUCAUCCAGUGCUGAAGGCUCUGGGUACAGUGUCCAGAAGUGA